GGUUAAGUUAGAAAGGGCGCACGGUGGAUGCCUUGGCACUAGGAGCCGAUGAAGGACGGGACGAACACCGAUAUGCUUCGGGGAGCUGUAAGCAAGCUUUGAUCCGGAGAUUUCCGAAUGGGGAAACCCACCACUCGUAAUGGAGUGGUAUCCAUAUCUGAAUUCAUAGGAUAUGAGAAGGCAGACCCGGGGAACUGAAACAUCUAAGUACCCGGAGGAAGAGAAAGCAAAUGCGAUUCCCUGAGUAGCGGCGAGCGAAACGGGAUUAGCCCAAACCAAGAGGCUUGCCUCUUGGGGUUGUAGGACACUCUGUACGGAGUUACAAAGGAACGAGGUAGAUGAAGAGGUCUGGAAAGGCCCGCCAUAGAAGGUAACAGCCCUGUAGUCAAAACUUCGU
rnacentral:rRNA from 1 species